AAAUUGAAGAGUUUGAUCAUGGCUCAGAUUGAACGCUGGCGGCAGGCCUAACACAUGCAAGUCGAGCGGAAACGAGUUAUCAGAACCUAUCGGGGAACGAUAGCGGCGUCGAGCGGCGGACGGGUGAGUAAUGCCUAGGAAAUUGCCCUGAUGUGGGGGAUAACCAUUGGAAACGAUGGCUAAUACCGCAUGAUGCCUACGGGCCAAAGAGGGGGACCUUCGGGCCUCUC
rnacentral:rRNA from 1 species